rnacentral:rRNA from 1 species
AAAGAAAGUAAGCAAGGGCGCAUGGCGGAUGCCUUGGCUCUCGGAGGCGAUGAAGGACGUGAUAAGCUGCGAUAAGCUUCGGGUAGGUGCAAAUAACCUUUGAUCCGAAGAUUUCCGAAUGGGACAACCCGUCAUUCUGAAGGAAUGUCAUACAUCUUGCAUAGAGGCUAACGCAGGGAACUGAAACAUCUUAGUACCUGCAGGAAAAGAAAAUAAUAAUGAUUCCCCUAGUAGUGGCGAGCGAACGGGGAUUAGCCCAAACCAAUGUUGUUACGGCAAUAUUGGGGUUGUAGGACCACGAUGUCGCAAGAAAUUUAGUGAGAAGAAUUCUUUGGAAAAUGAAACCAUAGACGGUGAUAGUCCGGUAUUCGAAGCUAAACGAAGCGUAGUGGUAUCCUGAGUAGCGCGGGACACGAGGAAUCUUGCGUGAAUCUGCCGGGACCAUCCGGUAAGGCUAAAUACUCCCGAGAGACCGAUAGCGAACCAGUACUGUGAAGGAAAGGUGAAAAGCACUUCGAAUAGAAGAGUGAAAUAGUCCCUGAAACCGUGCGCCUACAAGCGGUCGGAGCAGCGUAAGUUGUGACGGCGUGCCUUUUGCAUAAUGAACCUACGAGUUACUUUUUCCGGCAAGGUUAAGCAUUUCAAAAUGUGUAGCCGAAGCGAAAGCGAGUCUGAACAGGGCGAUUAGUCGGAAGGAGUAGACGCGAAACCAAGUGAUCUACCCUUGGUCAGGUUGAAGGUUAGGUAACACUAACUGGAGGACCGAACCGAUAAGCGUUGAAAAGCUUCCGGAUGAACUGAGGGUGGGGGUGAAAGGCUAAUCAAACUUGGAGAUAGCUCGUACUCCCCGAAAUGCAUUUAGGUGCAGCCUUGGGAAUUACUACUGUGAGGUAGAGCGACUGAUAAGAUGCGAGGGCUUCACCGCCUAUCAAGUCUUGAUAAACUCCGAAUGCGCAGUAGUUCGAUCCCAGGAGUGAGGGCAUGGGUGCUAAGGUCCAUGUCCUAAAGGAGAAGAAUCCGGACCAUCAGCUAAGGUCCCGAAAUAAUUGCUAAGUUGAACUAACGAAGUCAGAUUGCUAAGACAGCUAGGAUGUUGGCUUGGAAGCAGCCAUUCAUUUAAAGAGUGCGUAACAGCUCACUAGUCGAGGAGUUUGGCGUGGAUAAUAAUCGGGCAUCAAGCAAUUUACCGAAGCUAUGGGAU